rnacentral:rRNA from 1 species
ACUACGGGUGGCAGCAGUGGGGGAUAUUGCACAAUGGGGGGAACCCUGAUGCAGCGACGCCGCGUGGGUGAAGAAGCGCCUCGGCGCGUAAAGCCCUGUCAGCAGGGAAGAAAAUGACGGUACCUGAAGAAGAAGCCCCGGCUAACUACGUGCCAGCAGCCGCGGUAAUACGUAGGGGGCAAUCGUUAUCCGGAUUUACUGGGUGUAAAGGGGGCGCAGACGGCGAUGCAAGCCAGGAGUGAAAGCCCGGGGCCCAACCCCGGGACUGCUCUUGGAACUGCGUGGCUGGAGUGCAGGAGGGGCAGGCGGAAUUCCUGGUGUAGCGGUGAAAUGCGUAGAUAUCAGGAGGAACACCGGUGGCGAAGGCGGCCUGCUGGACUGCAACUGACGUUGAGGCCCGAAAGCGUGGGGAGCAAACAGGAUUAGAUACCCCUGUAGUC